UACGUAGGUGGCAAGCGUUGUCCGGAAUUAUUGGGCGUAAGGCGCGCGCAGGCGGUCCUUUAAGUCUGAUGUGAAAGCCCACGGCUCAACCGUGGAGGGUCAUUGGAAACUGGGGGACUUGAGUACAGAAGAGAAGAGUGGAAUUCCACGUGUAGCGGUGAAAUGCGUAGAGAUGUGGAGGAACACCAGUGGCGAAGGCGACUCUUUGGUCUGUAACUGACGCUGAGGCGCGAAAGCGUGGGGAGCAAACAGG
rnacentral:rRNA from 1 species